rfam:Alligator mississippiensis ScZkoYb_33, whole genome shotgun sequence.
CCUUUUAUAUAUAUGGUAGUAUUGUAGCCAAUGAGGCCCAGCUGAGGCGCGAUUAUUGCUAGUUGAAAACUUUUCUAAUACAAUGUAGUUUAUAGUAUGAACAUAAUGUAAGUAAAUGCAUGCUUAGUUCAUGUA